rnacentral:rRNA from 1 species
UGGGGAAUAUUGCGCAAUGGGGGGAACCCUGACGCAGCCAUGCCGCGUGAAUGAAGAAGGCCUUCGGGUUGUAAAGUUCUUUCGGUAUUGAGGAAGGUUGAUGUGUUAAUAGCACAUUAAAUUGACGUUAAAUACAGAAGAAGCACCGGCUAACUCCGUGCCAGCAGCCGCGGUAAUACGGAGGGUGCGAGCGUUAAUCGGAAUAACUGGGCGUAAAGGGCACGCAGGCGGUUAUUUAAGUGAGGUGUGAAAGCCCUGGGCUUAACCUAGGAAUUGCAUUUCAGACUGGGUAACUAGAGUACUUUAGGGAGGGGUAGAAUUCCACGUGUAGCGGUGAAAUGCGUAGAGAUGUGGAGGAAUACCGAAGGCGAAGGCAGCCCCUUGGGAAUGUACUGACGCUCAUGUGCGAAAGCGUGGGGAGCAAACAGGAUUAGAUACCCUGGUAGUCCACGCUGUAAACGCUGUCGAUUUGGGGGUUGGGGUUUAACUCUGGCGCCCGUAGCUAACGUGAUAAAUCGACCGCCUGGGGAGUACGGCCGCAAGGUUA